rnacentral:rRNA from 1 species
GUAGGUGGCAAGCGUUGUCCGGAAUUAUUGGGCGUAAAUCGCGCGCAGGCGGGUUUUUAAGGUCUGAUGUGAAAGCCCACGGGCUCAACCGUGGAGGGUCAUUGGAAACUGGAGAACUUGAGUACAGAAGAGGAAAGCGGAAUUCCACGUGUAGCGGUGAAAUGCGUAGAGAUGUGGAGGAACACCAGUGGCGAAGGCGGCUUUCUGGUCUGUAACUGACGCUGAGGCGCGAAAGCGUGGGGAGCAAACAGGAUUAGAUACUCUGGUAGUCCACGCCGUAAACGAUGAGUGCUAAGUGUUAGGGGGUUUCCGCCCCUUAGUGCUGCAGCUAACGCAUUAAGCACUCCGCCUGGGGAGUACGGCCGCAAGGCUG